rnacentral:lncRNA from 1 species
GGUAAAACCCCUGAGCUGCACGAAGAAAAAUUCAGAUCUCUCUUCAAAUUAACUGAGAGUUAAUCUCACAUCAAGAACGUACUGUCCAAAUCGUAACUUGAACACAGCUGAAGUUCAACUGGCUUUGCAUAAAUUCCACUGACUCCUAUAUAAAUAGCUUAGCAGACACAUUAAUGGGACAUUAUAAUUGUUUAUUACUCCCUUGCAGCACCAGUGGGGCACAUCUCUGCAAAGACUAACUGCUUUUGCCAAGAAACAAGCUAGCUCAUGGAAACUUUCAGGCUCGUUCACUACAGCAAUGAAGGGUUCAUUGUACUUCAAAUCCAAACAUGUAUAAUAAAAAAAG